UUCAUACAGUCGGACCUAUCGCAAGAGGUCAUGUUAGUGAGAACCAUAAAAGGGACCUAGCAAGUUGUUAUAAAACCUCCUUGGACCUGCUGAAAGAAUAUAAGCUGAGAUCUAUUGCCUUUCCUUGUAUUUCAACUGGAAUUUAUGGUUUCCCAAAUGACCCAGCUGCUGACACUGCUCUGAAAACAAUCAAGGACUGGUUAAAGGAAAAUCAUGAUGAG